rnacentral:misc_RNA from 1 species
GAUGAAGAACGUAGUGAAAUGCGAUACUUGGUGUGAAUUGCAGAAUCCUGUGAACCAUCGAGUCUUUGAACGCAAGUUGCGCCCGAAGCCAUUAGGCCGAGGGCACGCCUGCCUGGGCGUCACACGUCGUUGCCCCCCCCAUCUACUCCUUCGGGAUUGCGGGGGGCGGAUGAUGGCCUCCCGUGCGCCUCGUCGCGCGGUUGGCAUAAAUGCCAAGUCCUCGGCGACGCACGCCACGACAAUCGGUGGUUGCGAAACCUCGGUUGCCCGUCGUGUGCGGUCGUCGCGCAUCGAGGGCUCGAAAAAAUUGUCGGGCUCCGGCUCGGCUUUCAACGCGACCCCAGGUCAGGCGGGGUUACCCGCUGAAUUUAAGCAUAUCAAUAAGCGGAGGA